AACGAACGCUGGCGGCAGGCUUAACACAUGCAAGUCGAGCGCGUGAGCAAUCACGAGCGGCAGACGGGUGAGUAACGCGUGGGAAUCUACCUUUUGCUACGGAAUAACUCAGGGAAACUUGAGCUAAUACCGUAUGUGUCCUUCGGGAGAAAGAUUUAUCGGCAAAGGAUGAGCCCGCGUUGGAUUAGGUAGUUGGUGGGGUAAUGGCCUACCAAGCCGACGAUCCAUAGCUGGUCUGAGAGGAUGAUCAGCCACAUUGGGACUGAGACACGGCCCAAACUCCUACGGGAGGCAGCAGUGGGGAAUAUUGGACAAUGGGCGCAAGCCUGAUCCAGCCAUGCCGCGUGAGUGAUGAAGGCCCUAGGGUUGUAAAGCUCUUUCACCGGUGAAGAUAAUGACGGUAACCGGAGAAGAAGCCCCGGCUAACUUCGUGCCAGCCGCCGCAGUAACAC
rnacentral:rRNA from 1 species